CUGCAAUGAUGGGAAAAUUUUUCGUCAACAGCAGUUCACCUUGUGAGUGUUGAAUUUCUUAGUCUGAGCAA
ensembl:snoRNA